rnacentral:rRNA from 1 species
UCUACGUGGGGGCACCCUGACAGCCUGCCGCGUGAGUGAUGAAGGCCUUCGGGUUGUAAAGCUCUUUUGGCGGGGACGAUGAUGACGGUACCCGCAGAAUAAGCCCCGGCUAACUUCGUGCCAGCAGCCGCGGUAAGACGAAGGGGGCUAGCGUUGUUCGGAAUUACUGGGCGUAAAGCGCGUGUAGGCGGUUUUCCAAGUUGGGUGUGAAAGCCUUGGGCUUAACCCAAGAAAUGCACUCAGUACUGGAAGACUAGAGGACCGGAGAGGAUAGUGGAAUUCCCAGUGUAGUGGUGAAAUACGUAGAGAUUGGGAAGAACACCAGUGGCGAAGGCGGCUAUCUGGACGGUUUCUGACGCUAAGACGUGGAA